UAUCAAAUUUAUAAUUUGCAAAUGUUUUCUCCAUUCUGUGUGUGUUUUUUCCCUUUCUUGAAAGUGUCCUUUGAAGCACAAGAAAUUUUGGUUUGAUAAAGUUUAUUUUAUCUAAUCGUUCUUUUGCUGCUUAUGCAUUUUCUGUCAUAGCUAAGAAUCCAUUGGCUGAUUCAGGAUUCACUACUGUGUUUUCUUCUAAGAAUUUUAUAAUUUUAUCUCUUACAAUUAGGCUUUUUAUCUAUUUUGAGUUACUUUUUGUAUAUGAUAUGAGCUAAGGGUUUCAACUUUAUUUUUUUGUAUGUGAAUAUUCAAGUGUCUCAGCACUAUUUGUUGAAAAGACUCUUCUCUAAUAAUGGAAUGGUCUUUCCACCCUUGUUGAACUGACUGUAGACACAUGGUGUUUAUUUUUGAACUCUCAAUUCUGUUUCAUUGAUCUGUUUGUGAGUCCUUAUGCUGGUACCACACUCUCUUCGUUACUGUUGGUUGCUUUGUAGUAAGUUUUGAAGUGAGGAAAUAAGGAUCCCCCAACUUUGUUUAUUUUCAAUAUUGGUUUGGCUAUUCUGGGUCUCUUGCAAUUCUGUAUGAAUUAUAGGAUCAGCUUGUCAAUUUCUACAAAGGUGUUAACUAGGAUUCUGAUACAGAUUGUAUUGAAUCUGCAGAUCAAAUGGAGAGUAUUGGUAUCCUAACAAUACUAAGUCUCCUGAUGCAUGAACAUGGGGAUGUUUUUCCAUUUAUUGAGGCCUUGUUUAAUUUCUUUCAACAGUGGUUUCUAAUGUUUCUCAUUUCUUUUGUUAAAUUUGUCCUUAAGUAUUUUAUUCUUUUUGAUACUGUUGUAAGUGGAAUUACUGUAAUUUUAUUUUCAAGUUGCUGAUUUGCAUAUACAAAUACAAUUGAUUUUUAUAUAUUGAUCUUUUAAAAUUUUUAUUUAUUUUUAUUUUUGGCUCUGCUGGGUCUUCGUUGCUGUAUGCAGGCUUUCUCUAGAUGCGGUAAGCAGGGGCCACUUCUCAUUGUAGCGGCUUCUCUUGUUGCAGAGCAUGGGCUCUGAAGCUCCAGGUCAGUAGUUGUGUGCACUGGUUCAGUUGCCCUUCAGCACGUGGAAUCCUUCCAGAGCAGAGAUCAAACCCAUGUCUUCUGCAUUGGCAGGCAGAUUCUCAACCACUGGACCACCAGGGAAGUCCUGUAUAUUGAUUGACUUUUUGUCCUGUAGCCUUUUUGAACUUGCUUGUUAGUUCUAAUGAUAUGUUUUUUAGAUUCCUUAGAAUCUUCUAUAUACAAGAUGAUGUCACCCACACAUAGAGGCAGUUUUAUUUUUUCCUUUCUAAUUUUGAUGCUUUUUAUUUCUAUUUCUAAUUGCCGCUACUAUUAUUUUAUUGCUCUCAGUUUCAACUUUCAGAUCUGCUAAUAUUUGAUUUACAUACUUAGGUGAUUUGAUGCUAGGUGCAUAUGCAUUUACAAUUGCUAUAUCUUCCUACUGAAUGAGGCUUUUAUCAUUAUUAAUGAUCUUCUUUGUCUCUAGUGCCAUUUUUCAGCUAAAAGUCAACUUUUUGUGGUAUAAAUGUAACCACUUCUGCUUUGUUUUGGUUAUCAUUUACAUGAAAUAUUUUUUUCCAUCACUUCACUUUCAGAAGGUCUAAUUGUCUCUAGUGGGGCUUCCCCCAUGGCUCAAGUGGUAAAUAAUCCACCUUCCUGGGUUGGAAAGAUCCCCUGGAGGAAAAAAUGGCAAUGCACUUCAGUAUUCCUGGCUAGAGAAUCCCAUGGCAAGAGGGGACUGGCAGGCUACAGUCCAUGGGGUGGCAAAGAGUAGGACACAACUGGAACAUGGACUUGGGCCCACCAGGCUCCUCUGUCCACGGGGUUCUUCAGGCAAGAACACUGGAAUGGGUUGCCAUUUCUUCUUCCAGGGGCUCUUCCAGACCCAGGGAUCGAACCCGUGGCUCUUGGGUCUCCUCCAUUGCCAGCAGAUUCUCUACCAUCUGAGCCACCAGGGAAGCCCCUGGUCAGGGUUGAGCAGGCAUGCAAUUACCUCUAAUGGGUGACUCAAGACUCUGGUAGCGUCCCACCCAGCAACUGGGAGGCCCAGAGGGGAAGGCUUUUAUAGGCAGAAGGAGGGUGGGGCAAGGAGGUUAUUAGCAAAAGGAGAGAAGGAAUUGUUUCAGGCCAGGCCCCUUCUUUUGGGGGGAAGGGAAGGGCCAGGUCUUUUUAUGCAGAUUGUCUCACUGAUUAGUGCUGUUGGGACCUUUAAGGUUUCUCUUUAAAGACCACAUUCCUGGGAGAGGUUGAAAAUGCAGUUAAGUCUUGGUUUGCUGUCCUGGGGGCAAAUAAUUUCAUUUUGGACUUGUUACUUCUUUAUAACAAUUCUCCCCUUUUUUGAUAAACUCUCACCCUAACAGAGAGAUGUGAUCAAAAUUUAAGGCGUUAGUGCCACUCUCAGCUAUAUGCGUGAUGUUCUGUUAGUAAGUCAAAAAAAGAUCCUCAAUGGAAAUGUCUUUUUUUUUUUUUUUUUAAUUCACUUUUGGCUGUGCUAGAUCUUCAUUGCUGCCCUCGGGAUUUCUCUAAUUGAGGUGGUGGGGACUACUCUGUUGUAGUGCAUGGUAUUCUCAUUGCAGUGGCUUCUGUUGCAGAGCGCCGGCUGUAUGUGCACAGACUUCAGUAGCUGGGGCUCACGGGCUUAGUUGCUCCACGACGUGUGGAAUCUUGCCAGAGCAGGGAUUGAACCUGUGUCCCCUGUACUGGGGGGUGGACUCUCAACCACUAGACCACUAGACUCUAGGGAGGCCCCCAAGAGUCAUCUUGAGUCAAGUUUGCUCAGUAACCGUAUGUAACUGAGUUUCAACUUUCCCAGAAGUGUUAGCUCAGGUACACCAACUUCACUUGUUUUGUUUCUAACAACAACAACAAAAAAAUCUGCUGUCCUUAUUGGUAUGUAAUAUGUCUUUUUUCCUCAGGCUGCUUUUAAGUCUAAAUCACUUUUUUUUUUUUAAGUAUUAUUUUAUGAAGGAAUCCACUUCCAUGACUCAUGAAGCCCAGGCUGAGUUAAGAGAGAUGAGUUCCAGAGAGCACAGGCCCCAGAGCACUCAGUCUUCAGUAGUCGUGGGGCACUGACAUUGUUGCCCUGCAGCAUGUGGAAUCUUCCUGGACCCGGAAUUGAACCUGUGUCCCCUGCAUUGUAAGGCAGAUUCUUAACUAUUGGACCACCAGGGAAGUUCUCUAACACCUUCUUUCUGCAAAUGGAGUUGUCUUACGUGAGGAUGUAAAGCCCGUCCCUGUUACUCCGUCCCAGCUGGACACAGAAAUCCUUAUGAUCAGAUUUCCCUGAUGGUCCAGGAGCUAAGACUCCAAGGUUGAUCCCUACUUGGGGAACUAGAUCCCACGUGCUGCAACUAAAGAUCCUGCAUGCCUGCAGUGAAGAUCAACAACCCCUCAUUCCACUGCUGAGACCCGGCACAGCCAACAAGAAAUAAAUAAAUAGAAUCUUGUGCCUCCCUGGUGGCUCAGUGUUGAAAAACCCACCUGCCAACGCAGGAGACUCGGGUUCGAUCCCCGGUCCGGGAAGAUCCCAUGUGUCGUGGAGCAACAAAGCCCAUGUGCCACAACUGUUGACCCUGGGAGCCACAACUACUGAGCCAACGGGCUGAAGCUACUGCAGCCUACAUGCCCUAGAGCCUGUGUUCUGCAAGGAGAGAAGUCACCGCAGUGAGAAGCCCGCACACCACAACAAAGAGUAGCCCCUGCCUGCUACAACUAGAGAAAAGCCCACACAGCAAGGACGACACACCACAGCCAAAAAUAAACAUAGAAAAUUAUUUUUUUUAAUUCCUUAUGGUCAUUUGUUGAUUUGUUCAGCUGGCAUUUACUGAGGGCAAGCUGAUGUGUGCCCACCUCCCACUGGUCUUACUGAUCUCCAGACACUCCAAAUUUUCCUACCUCGGGGCCUUUGCAUGGCCCCUGUCCUCUGACCAGAAGGCUCUUUUUAGCUGUACUUCUUCCCUCAGCUCAGAGGCCUUCUAGGACUAAUCUGUGUAAAGUGAGCUGCUCUCUUUUUUUUUGCAUCACACAUAUGCUUUCCUUUACAGCUUCUCUUACUAUAAUAUAGGCAGGAAUUUUUGUCUGAUUCCUCACAGCCAGCUCAGGGCCAGGCACACUGUCAGUGUUCGAUAAAUAUUUAUUGAAUGAGUGCAGUCUUUGUGUAUUUCACGGUGCCUGCCACAUAACAGCUCAGUCAACUGGAGCUGCUUGACCGACGGGAACACAGCUCCAUGACUGAAGAUGCCCAACAGGGAAGGGAUCCCAGGCCCCUGGACCAAGGCCACCCUCAGCUCACUCUCAGCUGCGCUCUCCUUAGUGAUAACCGGAGGCCCCGCGUGCUGGCCAGGAGGGCUGACAGGUGGGGCUGAUGAGUUGCAGAUCCAGGCCUCCACCAGGCACAGAACCAGAUGCUGGACAGGAGCCAGAGCCAAACUUCCCUGAUGUUGCUGUCUUCCAGGGCCCUGUCUCUCAUCCACCCCCUCAGAGAGUCUGCCACCAGCCUCUGGGGAAAGAUGGAGCCAUCCCUCUGGUUCUAGCCCCAGAUCUAGUUGUGUGACCAUUGACAACUAUUAGAGUGCUCACAGGAGGAGUGUGUGCUUGCUAAAUCACUUCAGUCAUGUCCAACUCUUUGCGACCCCAUGGACUGUAGCCAACCAGGCUCCUCUGUCCAUGGGAUUUUUCCAGGCAAGAAUACUGGAGUGGGUACCCAUUUCCUGCUCCAGGGCAUCUUCCCGACCCAGGGACCCGCGUCUCUUAUAUCUCCUGCAUUGGCAGGAGUGUUCUUGACCACUAGCACCACCUAGGAAGCACCUUCACAGGAGGAGAGGAUGGCUCAAUAAAGUGAAUGGUACUUUGUAAACUGCAGACCUUCUACGAGCACUCACAGCACCUUACGAGGUUUCUGUUCCAAACACCUACUUUUGACAGAGGAAGGGACUGAGGUUUAAAUGAGAUGAGGUAAGGAGACUGCUUAGCACAAGGCUGGGGACUUCGUGUUUCUAUUCUAGAUGCUAACCAGCUGCCUACCUCUGGCUAAGCAACCAACAGCCUGCAACCCCUCAGCUGAGGGCCUUGAUCCAUCUGUCCUCAAUAAAGAUGAUAGCUACCAUUUUUUGAGCGUUUACGAGGUGCCAGGCCAUGAGCUCAGCGCUUUGCAUGCAUCAUCUAAUUCUUUCAUCAGAGGAUGAGAUGUUAUUAUUCCAAUGAGGAAACUGAAGCUCAAAGACAUUAGGUAAUCUACCCAAACCCUUGCAACUAGUAAGUGGCUUAAGCUGUGUUCAGACCCCUGGGUGUGAGGUCCCCAAGCUUCUAGGUACUGGCCUCUCUUCUCUUAGCAAUCUCUUCUAAUAACUGGUAUUUCUUGCCAGCUACUCCUUCCUGGGCCUUGGGGAAAGGUUUCUGAGAGUCCUUUUGGCCAGUCACCAGAUCAGGGCAAGACAGGGUCUAAAACCUCCAGCUGAGCUUCUGCCCCAAGGCCCAACUAUGAGCUUGUGGAGUUGGCAGUCAGGACAUCACUGAGGGUCAAAGAAAAUCCCACGUUAAAAACACAGCCCUGGGGAAGGAUUCGGAGUGGGGGUGGGGGGGGCGGGCGGAGCCCACAGACCCAGCCGUUCCCUCAGCAAGUAUCCUGCCAGCUGGUUCCCUGCAGGAUGGCAGGAGCUGCAGAUGCAGGCAGGCGAGGGCAUCCAGCCCCGUGGGAGCGCCACAUGGGUGAGGUUACUCUGAUGGGGCCUCCAGGGGGCCUGGCCACUCCAGGAAGGAAGGGAGCUUGAGCGAGCCUUGGAGCACCUAGCCAGUGUGGAUGAAGGAGUGGGAGUGGGAUGGGCAUCCUCUUAGCACAGAGAAACCUGGAGAGCUACUCAGACUGUCCAGCCUUUCCCAGGCUCCUCGCCUGUGCCCCCACUGUGUGUAUGUCCACAGCACGGGCCCUGAGUGAGGGGUUGUCAGUGCUUGGUAGGUGAAGACACUGAGCUCAGGGUCCAAGGCUGUGGGUGGGAUGGGCUGAAUGCCAG
ensembl:lncRNA